rnacentral:rRNA from 1 species
GAUGAACGCUAGCUACAGGCUUAACACAUGCAAGUCGAGGGGAAACGACAUCGAAAGCUUGCUUCCGAUAGGCGUCGACCGGCGCACGGGUGAGUAACGCGUAUCCAACCUGCCCACCACUUGGGGAUAACCUUGCGAAAGUAAGACUAAUACCCGAUGAUAUCUCUAGACGACAUCUGAAAGGGAUUAAAGAUUUAUCGGUGAUGGAUGGGGAUGCGUCUGAUUAGCUUGUUGGCGGGGUAACGGCCCACCAAGGCAACGAUCAGUAGGGGUUCUGAGAGGAAGGUCCCCCACAUUGGAACUGAGACACGGUCCAAACUCCUACGGGAGGCAGCAGUGAGGAAUAUUGGUCAAUGGGCGAGAGCCUGAACCAGCCAAGUAGCGUGCAGGAAGACGGCCCUAUGGGUUGUAAACUGCUUUUAUAGGGGAAUAAAGUGAGCCACGUGUGGUUUUUUGCAUGUACCCUAUGAAUAAGGACCGGCUAAUUCCGUG